GUAGGGAAUAUUGGACAAUGGGGGGAACCCUGAUCCAGCCAUGCCGCGUGGAGGAAGACUGCCCUCUGGGUUGUAAACUCCUUUUAUAUGGGAAGAACCGUCCUCAUUAAUGAGUGACCUGACGGUACCAUAGGAAUAAGCACCGGCUAACUCCGUGCCAGCAGCCGCGGUAAUACGGAGGGUGCAAGCGUUAUCCGGAUUCACUGGGUUUAAAGGGUGCGUAGGCGGAUAAAUAAGUCAGUGGUGAAAUCAACGGGCUCAACCUGUUAACUGCCAUUGAUACUGUGUAUCUUGAAUAUGAGAGAGGUAGGCGGAAUGUUGCAUGUAGCGGUGAAAUGCUUAGAUAUGCUACGGAACACCGAUUGCGAAGGCAGCUUACUAUUUCGUAAUUGACGCUGAGGCACGAAAGCGUGGGUAGCGAACAGGAUUAGAUACCCUGGUAGUCC
rnacentral:rRNA from 1 species